rnacentral:rRNA from 1 species
UACGUAGGGUGCAAGCGUUAAUCGGAAUUACUGGGCGUAAAGCGUGCGCAGGCGGCUUUGCAAGACAGAUGUGAAAGCCCCGGGCUCAACCUGGGAAUUGCGAUGGAGACUGCAAGGCUUGAAUCUGGCAGAGGGGGGUAGAAUUCCACGUGUAGCAGUGAAAUGCGUAGAGAUGUGGAGGAACACCGAUGGCGAAGGCAGCCCCCUGGGUCAAGAUUGACGCUCAUGCACGAAAGCGUGGGGAGCAAACAGG